rnacentral:rRNA from 1 species
UACGGAGGGAGCUAGCGUUGUUCGGAAUUACUGGGCGUAAAGGGCUCGUAGGCGGCCAACUAAGUCAGACGUGAAAUCCCUCGGCUUAACCGGGGAACUGCGUCUGAUACUGGAUGGCUUGAGUUUGGGAGAGGGAUGCGGAAUUCCAGGUGUAGCGGUGAAAUGCGUAGAUAUCAGGAAGAACACCGAUGGCGAAGGCGACUUACUGGACACAUAUUGACGCUGAGGUGCGAAAGCGUGGGGAGCAAACAGG